UGUUCCCCAUCCUCUUCUCCUAUCAAUCUACCAGAAAAACUGUGAGAUCUCUUCCAAGGGCCCCACACGGUGGUCGAAAACAUGCCGAGACCGCCGUCUCUACAUCCAUACGUGGAGUGGAGGUCGCCCUCGCCAGGACACCACCAACCCGAGGAGGAAGAGGUGCCGUUCGUCCGCCUGGCUGGCAUCGCUUCCCCCUGGACUUCGGGCUGCUCGAUGUUGUGCUGCUCCCCGUGAUUUGCGUCCUCUGCAUGCAACUUGCCUCUCUCCGAUCUGGAUACACCAUCGCCAGCCAUGUAACUGUCAUCGUUAGAUGAAAUAUUUGCCGAUAUGGAAAUUGCAGGAACCUUGUGCAACUGAUAUACUUUCCCGUCAUGAAAAAUCCUUCUCUCAGUUCAUCCAGUGUCAACUAUUUAGAUCAUAUAUGGAUGUUGCAGUUUCAUGCGAGCCUUGUAAAGUUCACUUCAUCUACGGAUUUACAGUUCGUGAAUCCAAGGGAUCCACUGUAGUGUAUAAAGCAUCAGAUCCUGAAUUGAUAUGUCAGGUAGAUGCCCAUGAGUCUGGCAACAGUUUCUGAGAAGGGGACUAUGAUUUGAGUAUAUGUUGUGGCACACACAACUAAGUCACAUAGGUUUCAGUGGGGAGCAUAUCCAUCAACAAUUUACUCGCUCUCAUUUGGGCCAAGCAUCGCUCAACCUGAUGUUUUUGCUGCCACAAGUUCAUCAGGCUCUUUGCACAUGUUUUUCCUUGACGCAGCAAGAAACGGAAGGUUGGCAACCCCUAGUACAAGGCUAGUGAUCUACUCACCUUGUGCAACCACUUUCUUCACUCAUCUUGAAGACCAUACAAGUUCAGUUUUCAAUUUAUAUUGUAUUCACCUAGAAAGGCUACAAAGUAAAGAUGCUAACUUAGGAUGAUCUUUUCAUCUGUACCCAGUGUGUUGCACAUAUCUUAUUUGUGGAAAUGAUCUAUUACUAGGUUUGUACUCCCUCCGUCCCAUAAUAUAGGACGUUUUUUGACACUAGUGUAGUGACAAAAUAUGUCUUACAUUAUGGGACGGAGGGAGUAACAUACAAAUG